GCAUCGAUGAAGAACGCAGCAAAUUGCGAAAAUUAAUGUGCAUUGCAGUACGUGAAUCAUCGAGUCUUUGAACGCAACUUGCACUCUAGGUUCUCCUAGAGUAUGCCUAUUUGAGUAUCGGUACCCCCCACUCACAACCCCACCCCCCUCGUGUGGUGGUGGUUUGGAUCCAAUGAGUCAUGCGUGUGUACUGUGUUGUGUAUCCACACACACACACACACAUACGCUGACUUGAAGUGUACACUGAAUCGGGCCUAUGUAUACUGUACAUGCGGCACUGACGUGAUAGUCUCACAUGUUUGGGAACACAACUCGUCAGGCACACAAUGCCACGUGUCGGUCAUAGUGACCCAGUCACACACCACCACAUACACCAAAUCUCGAUCUCAAAUUAGGUAGGACUACCCGCUGAAUUUAAGCAUAUCAAUAAGCGGAGGA
rnacentral:rRNA from 1 species